rnacentral:rRNA from 1 species
GUUGACCUCGGAUCAGGUAGGAAUACCCGCUGAACUUAAGCAUAUCAAUACGGGGAAGAAA